AUUGAACGCUGGCGGCAGGCCUAACACAUGCAAGUCGAACGGUAACAGGAAGCAGCUUGCUGCUUCGCUGACGAGUGGCGGACGGGUGAGUAAUGUCUGGGAAGCUGCCUGAUGGAGGGGGAUAACUACUGGAAACGGUAGCUAAUACCGCAUAAUGUCGCAAGACCAAAGAAGGGGACCUUCGGGCCUCUUGCCAUCGGAUGUGCCCAGAUGGGAUUAGCUUGUUGGUGGGGUAACGGCUCACCAAGGCGACGAUCCCUAGCUGGUCUGAGAGGAUGACCAGCCACACUGGAACUGAGACACGGUCCAGACUCCUACGGGAGGCAUCAGUGGGGAAUAUUGCACAAUGGGCGCAAGCCUGAUGCAGCCAUGCCGCGUGUAUGAAGAAGGCCUUCGGGUUGUAAAGUACUUUCAGCGGGGAGGAAGGGAGUAAAGUUAAUACCUUUGCUCAUUGACGUUACCCGCAGAAGAAGCACCGGCUAACUCCGUG
rnacentral:rRNA from 1 species